UUGGAGGGCAAGUCUGGUGCCAGCAGCCGCGGUAAUUCCAGCUCCAAUAGCGUAUAUUAAAGUUGUUGCAGUUAAAAAGCUCGUAGUUGAAUUUCGGGAUUGACGUGAUGGUCAAGCCUUAAGGGGUAUGAACUGUUGCAGUUGAUUUCUCACCUUCUGGAGAAACUUGAUGUCCUUUAUUGGGUGUCUUGCGGAUCCAGGACCUUUACCUUGAAAAAAUUAGAGUGUUUAAAGCAGGCAUUUUUGCUCGAAUACAUUAGCAUGGAAUAAUAGAAUAGGACGGCAUGGUUCUAUUUUGUUGGUUUCUAGGAUCACCGUAAUGAUUAAUAGGGAUAGUUGGGGGCAUUAGUAUUCAAUUGUCAGAGGUGAAAUUCUUGGAUUCAUUGAAGACUAACUACUGCGAAAGCAUUUGCCAAGGAUGUUUUCAUUAAUCAAGAACGAAAGUUAGGGGAUCGAAGACGAUCAGAUACCGUCGUAGUCUUAACCAUAAACUAUGCCGACUAGGAAUCAGACGAUGUUAAUUUUUUAAUGACUCGUUUGGCACCUUACGGGAAACCAAAGUGUUUGGGUUC
rnacentral:rRNA from 1 species